AGCGAACGUUUGCGGCGGGCUUAACACAUGCAAGUCGAACGAGAAUCCUUUCGGGGAGGAAAGUGGCGCACGGGUGCGUAACACGUGGAUAACCAACCCAUUGGUUUGGGACAACACCGGGAAACUGGUGCUAAUACCAGAUGUGUCGCAGCUGUCUUCAGGCGGUUGCGAGAAAGGCCCGCAAGGGUCGCCAACGGACGGGUCCGCGUCCCAUCAGCUAGUUGGUGAGGUAAUGGCUCACCAAGGCAAAGACGGGUAGCUGGUCUGAGAGGAUGAUCAGCCACACUGGAACUGAGACACGGUCCAGACUCCUACGGGAGGCAGCAGUGGGGAAUAUUGCGCAAUGGGCGAAAGCCUGACGCAGCCACGCCGCGUGAGCGAUGAAGGUCUUCGGAUCGUAAAGCUCUGUGGGGGGAGGAAGAAGAAGACGGUGAAGAGCCGGCCCGUCGACGGUACGUCCCUUACGACAAGACGACCGGACCGUAACUCCGUCGCCACGCA
rnacentral:rRNA from 1 species